rnacentral:rRNA from 1 species
UACGUAGGUGGCGAGCGUUGCCCGGAUUUAUUGGGCGUAAAGCGCGCGCAGGCGGUCCGUUAAGUCCGUUGUGAAAGCUCCCGGCUCAACUGGGAGAGGUCUUCGGAUACUGGCAGACUCGAGGGAGGCAGAGGAAGGUGGAAUUCCCGGUGUAGUGGUGAAAUGCGUAGAGAUCGGGAGGAACACCAGUGGCGAAGGCGGCCUUCUGGGCCUUUCCUGACGCUGAGGCGCGAAAGCGUGGGGAGCGAACCGG